AGGGUACCGGGCGCGACGUGCAAAUUUGGCCCCUACAAUUUGUGUCCUCGGGAGCUGUCCCUGAAAGUGGUGAGCAUGCCCUCUUAAUGAUGGGAAGCCUAAAGCUUUUAUUACGGUGCCCACCUUAAAAUAUUGGGGACCAAAUUUCGUCGCGUCCGGUUUUUUU
rnacentral:other from 1 species